AUACAAUUUUAGCUUGUUACCAAAUGAAAGGAAAGGACAUUAUUGGCAAGGAUUGAUAUUACUGGUGAACAUGUAUGUCAUGUAGGUGUGAAUGCCCUGCAAAACAGACCUGAUAUCAAAGUAAGUUCAUCUGUAGAAUUGCAGUUAAUUUAAAUAAUUUUAUGUUAUCUACCUAAAACUGUUUCAAGUUUAAUUGUACAUGUACAGUGUUGCUUAUUUUUCUCACUUUCUGAUUCAAUGCUUGCAUUAAGCCUUACUCUGCUCGCCUCCUUCUGCUCCAUACACACACACUUGAGAUGUCAGAAAAUUCAGACUAUCAUAGCAUUUACAUUACAAACUUACCUAGUCAGACUGGCCAAUAUUAUGUUUUGAAAAGUUAACGUUGUUAUUUAGAAAACAUAAAAUAUUUGCCACUGGACAUUCAAAUAAGCAAAAAAAAAAACCGACCAGUUAAUGAUUUUGCAUUAACAGAAUGAAUUUGCAAACAUAUAACAAUUAGCUUAUGUAAUUCAUGGAAGUUAGAUUUUAUAUUCUUUUAUGAAUAUUUUAUUUCAGUUACCAUCACAGUGAACAUGGUGAAGAAUAACCAAUACCAUGAAUACAGGACACAGAAGACUACCUCACAAACUUGGGAAUUUUACAAAAAAUAGAACGUUUAAAUUUACAAAGAAGAC
rnacentral:lncRNA from 1 species